rnacentral:rRNA from 1 species
GCUUGCUGGUUAUCGGGAUAGUGGCAGACGGCUGAGUAAUACGUAAGUGACCUACCCCGGAGCGGGGGAUAACCCGGAGAAAUCCGGCUUAAUACCCCGUACGCUCAUCAGAUUACGGUCUGGUGAAGAAAGGCUCCGGUCGCUCUGGGAGGGGCUUACGGCCUAUCAGGUAGUUGGUGGGGUAAUGGCCUACCAAGCCUAAGACGGGUAACCGGUGUGAGAGCACGAUCGGUCAGAGGGGGACUGAGACACGGCCCCCACUCCUACGGGAGGCAGCAGCAGGGAAUCUUGCGCAAUGGGCGAAAGCCUGACGCAGCGACACCGCGUGGAGGAUGAAGGCCUUAGGGUUGUAAACUCCUUUUAUUGGGGAAGAGAACGGACGGUACCCGAUGAAUAAGGAUCGGCUAACUACGUGCCAGCAGCCGCGGUAAUACGUAGGAUCCGAGCGUUGUCCGGAUUUACUGGGCGUAAAGAGUGCGUAGGCGGCAUGGUAAGUCUCAUGUGAAAUCUCCCGGCUUAACUGGGAGGCGCCAUGAGAAACUAUCAAGCUUGAGGGCAGCAGAGGAGAGCAGAAUUCCGGGAGUAGUGGUGAUAUGCGUAGAUACCCGGAGGAAUACCCGUGGCGAAGGCGGCUCUCUGGACUGUCCCUGACGCUGAGGCACGAAAGCGUGGGGAGCAAACCGGAUUAGAUACCCGGGUAGUCCACGCCCUAAACGAUGGAUACUAGAUAUAGGGGGUAUCGACCCCUCCUGUGUCGUAGCUAACGCGAUAAGUAUCCCGCCUGAGGAGUACGGCCGCAAGGCUAAAACUCAAAGGAAUUGACGGGUCCCCGCACAAGCAGCGGAGCGUGUGGUUUAAUUCGAUGAUAAGCGAAGAACCUCACCAGGGCUUGACAUGUUUUCGCUAACCUGGGAAACCAGGUGUUCUCUUCGGAGACGAUUACACAGAUGUUGCAUGGCUGUCGUCAGCUCGUGCCGUGAGGUGUUGGGUUAAGUCCCGCAACGAGCGCAACCCUUGUCGUUAGUUAUUAUGUCUAGCGAGACUGCUCCUAAAAGGGGAGAGGAAGGUGGGGAUGACGUCAAGUCAGCACGACUCUUACGCUCUGGGCUACACACACGCUACAAUGGCCAGUACAGAGGGUUGCGAAGGCGCGAGUCGGAGCUAAUCCCAAAAAGCUGGCCCCAGUUGGAAUUGCAGGCUGCAACUCGCCUGCAUGAACGCGGAGUUGCUAGUAAACGCAGGUCAGCACACUGCGUUGAAUACGUUCCCGGGGAUUGUACACACCGCCCGUCACGUCAUGGAAGUCGGUAACACUUGAAGUCGCUGGGCUAACCCCGAUUUCGUCGGGGAGGCAG